UACGUAGGGUGCAAGCGUUGUCCGGAAUUAUUGGGCGUAAAGAGCUCGUAGGCGGUUUGUCGCGUCUGCUGUGAAAACCCGAGGCUCAACCUCGGGCCUGCAGUGGGUACGGGCAGACUAGAGUGCGGUAGGGGAGACUGGAAUUCCUGGUGUAGCGGUGAAAUGCGCAGAUAUCAGGAGGAACACCGGUGGGCCGAAAGGCGGGUCUCUGGGCCGUAACUGACGCUGGAGGAGCGAAAGCCGUGGGGAGCGAACAGG
rnacentral:rRNA from 1 species